AUUGAACGCUGGCUGAAUGCUUUGCACAUGCAAGUCGAACGAAGCCUUCGGGCUUAGUGGCGCACGGGUGCGUAACGCGUGGGAAUCUGCCCUUGGGUUCGGAAUAACAGUUAGAAAUGACUGCUAACACCGGAUGAUGUCUUCGGACCAAAGAUUUAUCGCCCAAGGAUGAGCCCGCGUAGGAUUAGGUAGUUGGUGGGGUAAUGGCCCACCAAGCCGACGAUCCUUAGCUGGUCUGAGAGGAUGAUCAGCCACACUGGGACUGAGACACGGCCCAGACUCCUACGGGAGGCAGCAGUGGGGAAUAUUGGACAAUGGGCGAAAGCCUGAUCCAGCAAUGCCGCGUGAGUGAUGAAGGCCUUAGGGUUGUAAAGCUCUUUUACCAGGGAUGAUAAUGACAGUACCUGGAGAAUAAGCUCCGGCUAACUCCGUGCCAGCCGCCGCGGUAA
rnacentral:rRNA from 1 species